rnacentral:rRNA from 1 species
ACGAUUGACGGAGCGAAGCGACGUCAAAGCGUUCAUUAAAGUCGAGUUGGCUUAGGGAUACGUUCGUUGGGUAGGGGAGCGUUCUGUAAGCCUGUGAAGGUGGCCUGUGAGGGUUGCUGGAGGUAUCAGAAGUGCGAAUGCUGACAUAAGUAACGAUAAAGCGGGUGAAAAGCCCGCUCGCCGGAAGACCAAGGGUUCCUGUCCAACGUUAAUCGGGGCAGGGUGAGUCGACCCCUAAGGCGAGGCCGAAAGGCGUAGUCGAUGGGAAACGGGUUAAUAUUCCCGUACUUGGUGUUACUGCGAAGGGGGGACGGAGAAGGCUAUGUUGGCCGGGCGACGGUUGUCCCGGUUUAAGCGUGUAGGUGUGUGUUCCAGGUAAAUCCGGUUCACUUUAACACUGAGGCGUGACGACGAGGCACUACGGUGCUGAAGCAACAAAUGCCCUGCUUCCAGGAAAAGCCUCUAAGCAUCAGGUAACAUCAAAUCGUACCCCAAACCGACACAGGUGGUCAGGUAGAGAAUACCAAGGCGCUUGAGAGAACUCGGGUGAAGGAACUAGGCAAAAUGGUGCCGUAACUUCGGGAGAAGGCACGCUGAUAUGUAGGUGAAGCGGUUUACCCGUGGAGCUGAAAUCAGUCGAAGAUACCAGCUGGCUGCAACUGUUUAUUAAAAACACAGCACUGUGCAAACACGAAAGUGGACGUAUACGGUGUGACGCCUGCCCGGUGCCGGAAGGUUAAUUGAUGGGGUCAGCGCAAGCGAAGCUCCUGAUCGAAGCCCCGGUAAACGGCGGCCGUAACUAUAACGGUCCUAAGGUAGCGAAAUUCCUUGUCGGGUAAGUUCCGACCUGCACGAAUGGCGUAAUGAUGGCCAGGCUGUCUCCACCCGAGACUCAGUGAAAUUGAACUCGCUGUGAAGAUGCAGUGUACCCGCGGCAAGACGGAAAGACCCCGUGAACCUUUACUAUAGCUUGACACUGAACAUUGAGCCUUGAUGUGUAG